rnacentral:rRNA from 1 species
AACGAACGCUGGCGGCAUGCCUAACACAUGCAAGUCGAACGAGACCUUCUGGUCUGGUGGCGCACGUGUGCGUAACGCGUUGGAACCUGCCCUUAGGUUCGGAAUAACUCCCCGAAAGGGGUGCUAAUACCGGAUAAUGUCUUCGGACCAAAGAUUUAUCGCCUUUGGAUGGGCCCGCGUUGGAUUAGCUAGUUGGUAUGGUAAAAGCCUACCAAGGCGACGAUCCAUAGCUGGUCUGAGAGGAUGAUCAGCCACACUGGGACUGAGACACGGCCCAGACUCGUACGGGAGGCAGCAGUGGGGAAUAAUGGACAAUGGGCGAAAGCCUGAUCCAGCAAUGCAGGGUGAGUGAUGAAGGGCUUAGGGUGGUAAAGCUCUUUUACCCGGGAUGAUAAGGACAGUACCGGGAGAAUAAGCUCCGGCUAACUCCGU